rnacentral:rRNA from 1 species
UUUAUGGAGAGUUUGAUCCUGGCUCAGAGUGAACGCUGGCGGCGUGCCUAAUACAUGCAAGUCGAACGAUGAAGCUUCUAGCUUGCUAGAAGUGGAUUAGUGGCGCACGGGUGAGUAACGCAUAGGUCAUGUGCCUCUUAGUUUGGGAUAGCCAUUGGAAACGAUGAUUAAUACCAGAUACUCCCUACGGGGGAAAGAUUUAUCGCUAAGAGAUCAGCCUAUGUCCUAUCAGCUUGUUGGUAAGGUAAUGGCUUACCAAGGCUAUGACGGGUAUCCGGCCUGAGAGGGUGAACGGACACACUGGAACUGAGACACGGUCCAGACUCCUACGGGAGGCAGCAGUAGGGAAUAUUGCUCAAUGGGGGAAACCCUGAAGCAGCAACGCCGCGUGGAGGAUGAAGGUUUUAGGAUUGUAAACUCCUUUUGUUAGAGAAGAUAAUGACGGUAUCUAACGAAUAAGCACCGGCUAACUCCGUGCCAGCAGCCGCGGUAAUACGGAGGGUGCAAGCGUUACUCGGAAUCACUGGGCGUAAAGAGCGCGUAGGCGGGAUAGUCAGUCAGGUGUGAAAUCCUAUGGCUUAACCAUAGAACUGCAUUUGAAACUACUAUUCUAGAGUGUGGGAGAGGUAGGUGGAAUUCUUGGUGUAGGGGUAAAAUCCGUAGAGAUCAAGAGGAAUACUCAUUGCGAAGGCGACCUGCUGGAACAUUACUGACGCUGAUUGCGCGAAAGCGUGGGGAGCAAACAGGAUUAGAUACCCUGGUAGUCCACGCCCUAAACGAUGGAUGCUAGUUGUUGGAGGGCUUAGUCUCUCCAGUAAUGCAGCUAACGCAUUAAGCAUCCCGCCUGGGGAGUACGGUCGCAAGAUUAAAACUCAAAGGAAUAGACGGGGACCCGCACAAGCGGUGGAGCAUGUGGUUUAAUUCGAAGAUACACGAAGAACCUUACCUAGGCUUGACAUUGAGAGAAUCCGCUAGAAAUAGUGGAGUGUCUAGCUUGCUAGACCUUGAAAACAGGUGCUGCACGGCUGUCGUCAGCUCGUGUCGUGAGAUGUUGGGUUAAGUCCCGCAACGAGCGCAACCCCCUUUCUUAGUUGCUAACAGGUCAUGCUGAGAACUCUAAGGAUACUGCCUCCGUAAGGAGGAGGAAGGUGGGGACGACGUCAAGUCAUCAUGGCCCUUACGCCUAGGGCUACACACGUGCUACAAUGGGGUGCACAAAGAGAAGCAAUACUGCGAAGUGGAGCCAAUCUUCAAAACACCUCUCAGUUCGGAUUGUAGGCUGCAACUCGCCUGCAUGAAGCUGGAAUCGCUAGUAAUCGCAAAUCAGCCAUGUUGCGGUGAAUACGUUCCCGGGUCUUGUACUCACCGCCCGUCACACCAUGGGAGUUGUGUUUGCCUUAAGUCAGGAUGCUAAAUUAGCUACUGCCCACGGCACACACAGCGACUGGGGUGAAGUCGUAACAAGGUAACCGUAGGUGAACCUGCGGUUGGAUCACCUCCUUUCUAGA